rnacentral:lncRNA from 12 species
UUUGCAAUGAUUGCUUUAUACAAUACACCAUUCUAGAAUGUUUACAAUUAAUUCUGAAUGUCCUGAGUUCUCCUCAGAGCUUUAUUCCUGGGAAUCUGCUGAAUUUCAUGAAGUAGGUACAUUUUCCCAAGGGGAGAGAAAAAUUCGUAGGACCUACAAUCUCUUAUCUCCAUGCUCUGCUGCCAGAGCCUGUAAAGUCUUGUUCCCUCCUCCAUCAUAACCUCUUUCCAAGAGUUUUGGCAAUAAGGUAAAGAGAAAAAUUGGACCAAGCCUGGAGAAAGGUGUCUGAAACAAUGGACUACUGUAUAAUACUCAAAAUCAAAGGAAGAGGUUUUUGUAAGAGGACUCAAUGAGAUUUGAGCCAUGACUAAGGCUACAUCUAUCAUGAAUAAUUGGCUCACAGAAUUUUCACUUUUUAACUGGUUAUCUUAGUGCUCUCCACUAAAUUUAUUUGUUUCAUCAUGCAUCUCAAUCCUGGAGAAUAACAUUACUGUACCUAGAUUAUAAAUGUUUUAUGGAAAUAAAUCUUUUCAAAAUACUCA